ensembl:lncRNA
GACGUUAGUUUAUUUUUGUUGACAAGCACAGUGAUCACAGCAUGGCGACCCGCGGAAGGUCGAGGGGGUCAAAGGUCAUGAAACACCAUCAGGGCUCAGUUAACUAUGACAUCAUCAAAUGAGUCGGAGCGCCGAGUCGUUGGUACAAAGCUACUAAUCAAUACGUCUACUGAUCGCUCUGAUCGGGUCUGGAAGACGAAUCUCAGAGAAAUGAAUGAAGGUUCUUCAACUACGGCUCCCAUGAUGCUUUGCUAGAGGUAAACGGUGAGUGAUUAUUUUUUAUUCCAUAAAUUUGACACCUUUAGGGAGACUCGCUGCCCCCCCACACCCAAUAAUCCAACUCCGCCCCCAAAACACUUACAGAUCAAACCUCAUAUCACAAUUCAGUUGUUCAGCUUCAGCAAUAAUUUUAUUCAAAAGAAAACAACCUUAUUUUUUGAUGUUAAAAACACUUUGGUGACGUUUUGGCUAUAAAAUCAUUGCAACUAUUUUUCAAAAAGUAUCUAAAAGCAAAAGUUAGACAUUAAAUCCCUUUUACAAGCGGAGUGUUUUUGGACUGAAUGAAAAUUUGAUGGUUUCAGAGGUAACUUUUGAAAUAUUUUGAAUUAGUUUCUAAUAUUUAAUAUCUGUCUAAUUUUAUUUUCAUGUUUAGAAAAAAUUUUGUGUCUAAAAAUGAUGUAAAUACAUUAUUCAGAGUCACAUUGUAUUAAUUUGAUCUUUUUUAUCUUGUUAUCAAAAAUGAAACCUCAGAUAAUUAUUUGUGCAAAAUGUUUUUAGUAAUUAUUUUUCUAGAACUUCCAAUCAACUUGAAUAACUUAAUUAUUAACUUUAAAUGAAAGUAAUAUUCUAAUAAUCAUAAUAAUGAACAGGAAUAAACCGGAAUUGGGAAACCAGACACCUUUUGUUUAUGUGUGACUUCCUGUCAUCUGCAGUUUUAAUCAAGUUUAAAAUAAAUAUUCUGUCACGUUAUUUUUGGCAGAAGCACAAAAACCAAAUUACAUGAAACAUCAGAUUUUGAUAAAUCUCAACUGGCUUUUUUGAGAUCUUUUUUCUAGAUAGAUAUUUUAUAAAUGCAUAUAAAAUCCUCCAGAGAUGAGAAAAAUAACUCACAAUAUCAGUUUGAGUUAACGUUCUGUUUGAUUAGUGAAAUUCUCAUUAUCCGCGUCACGUGACCUUUGAACAAUAAUGUUUUAAUUAGUAAUAAUAAUCAUCCCUCAGCAAUAGUUCCAUCUUUAAUUAGUUUGAUGUUUAAACAGUUAAUUAACUUACACCUUUAUCUCCAAUUAUAAUAAUUUUGAUUAAAACUCUUUUAUAGACAGAUUUUCCUUUUCACACUCAAUUGAUAUAAACUGGAGUCUCACACUGGCUGCUGGGAAAUGUAGUUCUUAUUGUAAACAGCAGCGUGCUGUGCUGUUUGUGUAGUUCUUACUGCGUUGCUGGCUACUGGUUUAUUAUUAUUGUUCUGCCUGUUGCACCAGCUGACAGAUUGCAGAAAAAUGUUCGUUCUUCCCCUUUUUAAAUAAUAAUACUUCUUUUGAUAUCCCCUCCGCAUGAAGUUUUGAAGUAAACUUCAUGCGGAGGGGUUGGGGGGGUAAAUUCAUUAAAUUGUCUUUGAGCACUUUUAAAACCAGAAAUCAAAAAAGUAAAAAAAGUUUCCCUUUCUUGGUGCAUUCAGAAGAAGCCUCCACAACACUGAGGCAAACCCGCCAAAAUAAAAGCCCUGCUCCCCGCUGUUUGUUCACAUUAGCCGGUCGGACGGCGUUUAAGGGCCUCGCAGCACCAACGUGUGUAAAUAUAUAUAAAAUAUAAUACUUCAAACCGUAUUGCAUUAAAUGGGACACUUACAACAUGUAUCAUAGAUUUGUUCAGUUGUUUUCUUCUUUUUAACUGUUGUUCUUAGCAUGUCACAUUGUUGAUCAUCGGCGUUUAAUGGAAAUACUUCCCAGAAAGCGUUCCCGCCGUUCCAUUUGCAUAAAAAGCUGAAAGAUUUAUUUUGAAAAUCUGAAAUGAGGUAGCCUGAAGAGUCUCUUCAUCGCUCGUCUGACGAAAACGUG